GAUGAACGCUAGCUGCAGGCUUAACACAUGCAAGUCGAGGGACGGGCGCAUGAGUGAGUAACACGUAUCCAACCUGCUCUUUACUCGGGGAUAGCCUUUCGAAUGAAAGAUUAUUACCCGAUAUAAAGGAUGGGGAUGCGUUGCAUUAGGUUGUUGGUGAGGUAACGGCUGACCAAGCCUUCGAUGGAUAGGGGUUAUGAGAGGAAGCUCCCCUGCGUUGGAACUGAGACACAAGCCAAACUCGGACGGGAGGCAGCAGUGAGGAAUAUUAGUAGAUGGGCGCAUGCCUGAACCAGCCAAGUAUCGUGAAGGAUGAAGGCUUAUGAGUCGUAAACUUCUUUUAUAUAAAAAUAUGUAUUAUAUGAAUAAGGAACGGCUAACUCCGUGCCAGCAGCCGCGGUAAUUC
rnacentral:rRNA from 1 species